UACGGAGGGAGCUAGCGUUGUUCGGAAUUACUGGGCGUAAAGCGCACGUAGGCGGCUCUUUAAGUCAGGGGUGAAAUCCUGGAGCUCAACUCCAGAACUGCCUUUGAUACUGGGGAUCUCGAGUCCGGAAGAGGUAAGUGGAACUCCGAGUGUAGAGGUGAAAUUCGUAGAUAUUCGGAAGAACACCAGUGGCGAAGGCGGCUUACUGGUCCGGUACUGACGCUGAGGUGCGAAAGCGUGGGGAGCAAACAGG
rnacentral:rRNA from 1 species